GACGAGCCACACGAACGUUAUUCGGAAUUACUGGGCUUAAAGGGUGCGUAGGCUGCGCGGAGAGUUGGGUGUGAAAUCCCUCGGCUCAACCGAGGAACUGCGCCCAAAACUGCCGUGCUCGAGGAAGAUAGAGGUAAGCGGAACUUACGGUGGAGCGGUGAAAUGCGUUGAUAUCGUAAGGAACACCUGUGGCGAAAGCGGCUUACUGGGUCUUUUCUGACGCUGAUGCACGAAAGCUAGGGGAGCAAACGGG
rnacentral:rRNA from 1 species